rnacentral:lncRNA from 1 species
GGGGUUCCUCAGCUUCCCGGUCGCUGGGUGGGUGCUAAUCUUGCCUUCCAUCCUGGUGUUUGGGCCAGGCUUCGCACACUGGGUCCCCAAUCCAUUGCUGAACUGUGCAUUCUCAGCCCAUUUCACAGAUGAGGAAACUGACUCCCAAAUCCGGAUUCAUGCAGUCAUAUCCUGCAGGUCUCAGAUUGAAAAUUGCCUUCAUAUCAGCUAACAUAAAUGCUCAUAGUUACGGAGACGUAAACAGGCAUUCUGUGAGUGCCGAGAGUUCUCCAGGGGAACACAAGGUUUUAAGGAAAUCAUCUGGCGGGUCUGCAAUCUCAGCUGCUCAGGAAGAUCGCAAGUUGGAGGCCAGCCUGGGUAGAGCACUUGCCUAGCACUUGCAAGCCCCUCGGUUCAAUCCCCAGUACCAACAAAAAACAAAACAAAAAAAAGAGAAACAGCUGUCAGAGCCAGUUGUCUUCUGCCCAGUGCCACAUCUUAAAACUUUUGAGAAAGUGGAAAUCCAGAUAUUUUAAAUAUAAACAUUUUUCAAUACUCAAAAAGUUUUUAAUUAUACAGGCCAACUGAAACAUUUAUAUAGGCUGAAUUCACUCUUGUGCCUCCAAUUUGCAACUGUAACCAGCACAGCAAAAAUGGAACUUUAAGUUAGCUUUUUUUCUUUUUAGAGAUAAGCAGCUUCUCCAACUUCCUCCUACAAGCACAUAACUAAUACCCCCUCCUCUCUUCUGCCCAAAAGAAACGACAGAUUAUGCAGAUGCCAGAAGGCCAGGAGCCUGGUUUCUUUUCCACAAGAGAAAGAUAAGCUGAAGAUGGCUGGAAAUGAGAAACCAAGUGUAAAGAUCUGCAUUGUCUUUUUGGUCCCCUUCCCCUCUGUUUAAAAGACCCUUCCCACCUGUGAACAGUAGGAUGGUGAUCUGAGGCAAAUAGGCCCCUCUAUCUCCUCAGAGUUAGCUUUGAGUAAAUCCUUAUUUCCUUCCAAAGGUAGAAUCUGCCCCCCAAAAAAGUGUAUAUACUUGAUACGGCUUGUGUUUAGAUGUCCUCCCAAAGCAUGCUUUUUCAGAGGUGGCUGAAUCUAGAGUAUGUGAUUGCUAGUGGUGAGGCUAGGCCCAAGGGCACUAGGGAUUAAGGGCAUGAGUGCUACCUGCCCUAAGUAGUCUGAAUUAAAAGGGCCAGAAAGACGCUGUUAAGUCCCUUGUUGCUUUUGCUACCUUGUGGGUGCCAUGAACUGUUGCCCCUCUGCGAUCCCCCUCUGCCAUGUGCCACCCUGCCUUGGAGCCAGCAGAUUAUGGACUGAAACCUCUAUGAACUGUAAGCCAAACAAACCUUUUCCCCUUUAACUUUAGGUGCUAGAAAUUUUGUCUCAACAAUGAAAGAAAAAUAACUAACACAACACUUCAGCAGUUUGCCGUACUAGUAAAUGUCUGGAAGCUAAUGGCUGCCACUUUGAGCACCUCUUGUAAUUGUAGAGGCUAAAGAUAACUUGUUUAAUAUAAAUAACUUCUUUAAUAACUUGAUUAAUAUCUCAUAAUGUCUCAAUAAGUUUAGUGUUAAAAUAUACAAGUUUUUCUUUUCCUGAUAUAUACAUGUUUUUGGCCGACUCUAUAUCCUUUGAUUUGGUCCAAUGUGAGAAGAUGAACCUGAAUAUAUGAGCCUAAACUCAACCACUAUUUUAAAGAUAUAUUAUGGAAUAAGAGUCUGGGACAAAGUAUGAAUACAUACCUUCACCAAGGUAAUAUUCCUUAAUCUUUCUCUCGGUGUUCACAGAUCAUUUAAGCCCAUUUGGCCUCAUGGUCAACAAUAAAACAAUCUUUUUUUUUUUUUUUUUUUUUAGCAGUGUUUUUAAAAAGUCAUGGGCCAGGGAUUUAGCUCAGUGGUUUCACCGCCUGCUGCGCAAGCGCAAGGACCAGAGUUCAAUCCCUGGUACCAAAAUAAAUAAAUAAAUUAAUUAAUUAAUUAAUUAAAUUAAAAAGUCGUGAAAGCUGGAAAAACAGAAGCAAACUUGAGGUCACUUUGCACAUUCUUGACCCAAAGGUCUACUGUAUUUCAGAUGGGAAGAAGAGGCUCUUGACCUAGUAACUUACAUUACUACUUGGGCCGGGGAUUUAGCUCAGUGGUUUUGGCUGCCUGCUGCGCAAGCGCAAGGACCCGAGUUCAAUCCCCGGUACCAAAAAAAACAAACAAACAAAACUUACAUUACUACUCGUCAUUUGUACUUCACACAAUCACAAGGAACAUGAGAGAUGACCAUGGGGGUUCUUAGGCCCCCUCUAGGAUUUUCCGCUUCUAACUCCUUUGACUUGAAGACUCCCUGCUACGUUAGUACCCAUACUGUUAGGAAAGGCUUCACCCACUUUGUUCUUCAUAGCAGCUUUGACUAUUUCCAGCCCUUUUCUGGACAGGCUCUCAUUUCGAAUGAGAGCAAUGGCCAGUGAAAUGAAACUAGAAGAGCAGAACACCGCCGCCUGCCUUGUAAGCUGAAGGACCUGAGUUCGAUUCCCAGAACCAAUAAAACAAAAAACAAAAAGAGCAGAGCACCAUAUUCUGGACAGAAGGUCUAAAUGAGGAAGGGGAAAAAAGGCAAAGCUUCCCAGGUGCAAUGGCACCUGGCUGCAAUCCCAGUGUAAGACCGAGGGCCUUACCAAACGCUCUGAGGAGCUGACUGCAGUGAAGCACACCCGGGAAUCCCAGCGGUGCCUCCAAAAUGUAAGACCGAGGGCCUUACCAAACGCUCCAAGAAGCUGACUGCAGCGAAGAACACCCGGGAAGGAACACACCGGACAAGUUGGAAAGUAAAACAGACCUUAGUCUGGCCAGACGGCACUCCCAAAGCAAAGUAGCUUAGAGAGGCAACUAGCCCAGAGUCCGAGGCUCUUUUAUAGGGGGUUGCAGGGGAAGUUAACAGGUGAAAUUUACAGAAGAGGAACAAAGGUUAGUGGUCAGCUGACACGUACUGAUGGUCAGCAGAUGUUUGUAGAUUGUUCUGUAGAUAGCGGUGUUCAGAACAUCAGUUUCGAACAAAGAGUUGAGUAAUUUACUUUGGGACCUUAUGGCUGAUACAGAUCUUAUCUAGUGUCCCACAAGCAUCUUUAUCUAUUUAUUUACAUUUACAGUUGGGGCUAGGGGAGUUUUAUGAUUACAGAGUUAUGCAGUCCCACAUCAGACACUUAGGAUGCUGAACCAGGAGGAUCACAAGAUGUCAAGAGCCAUUCUACAUAAGUUUUGGGGAAAAAUCAUUUCAUAAUUAAAGUAUGACUAUAGCUAAGGGCCAAUGUUACCUUGCCCGUAAGCCAGCUAUGGCAUGCAGAAACAUAACUGUGUUUCGCCUCCAGUCUCAGCUGAGGCCUCAAUGGUUCCCUGAUGCUGUGGCAAUCAAGGGCAAGAUUACAUCAGCUGAAGGGGCUGGGGAUUUAGAUCAGCGGGCACCACGCCUGCCUUAGAAGCACAAGGUCCUGAGUUUGAUCCCCGGUACCCACCCCCCCAAAGAGUACAUCAGCUGAAGACUUCCUGGUUCUUUGAGAACAGAGUAGCAGUACAAAAAGAGAAACCUGAGGAGGGAAGAAUUCCUUAUCAGCUUAACUCAUCCCACUUAAUGUUGUAGAAAUGCUUUCCUUUCUGCCCUCCUCAGCAUAAGAGUUGCAUCAACAUAGGAUCACCGCUGCCCCCUAGUCACCCAAUACUCUCUCCAGUUAUUGUGUGUACCCAAUAAAUGACGGCUAGCUCAGAGUGCUUGUCUUUGCGCACUCAGGCACUGACCUCCUGGACCCCCCCCAUAUACUUUGAAAUUAUGCAAGUUUGUGUUAUCUUUUUUUUCUUUAGCCCUCGCCUUCCCCUUUUCUAGGCAGUUGGAGGAUUGAUUGGCCUCUGAUAACAAGAUCAAUGCCAGCCUGGGCAAUGUAGCAGGAUGUAGCUGUCUCAAAAUAAAAAGAGCUCAUUGGUGGAGUGCUUGCCCAACACAUGUGAGGCCCUGGAUUCAAUCCCGAGUACCUCCCCUCUCAGGGCAAAGUUUUAAUUACUUUCUUCCAUUUGGGGGUGGGGAGGAAAACAUUGUUAGAAUGUCCUACUGUUGAUGAGAUGCUAGCAUUAAACAGUUGUCUUUGUUUUUAAUUUUCUUACUUGACAGAAUAAAAUGUUAAUAAAACUAUAUUAAGUCUAAGUAACAUUUUUUAUUUUACCAAAUGUGAUAUCUAGUCUGCAAAACAUAUUGUAACUAACCAUAUCCAGC